CCCUUAGAUGUCCUGGGCCGCACGCGCGCUACACUGAUGCAUUCAACGAGUUUUACCUUGGCCGAGAGGCCUGGGCAAUCUUUUAAACCUGCAUCGUGAUAGGGAUAGAUUAUUGCAAUUAUUAAUCUUGAACGAGGAAUUCCUAGUAAACGCAGAUCAUCAAUCUGCAUUGAUUACGCCCCUGCCCUUUGUACACACCGCCCGUCGCACCUACCGAUUGAAUGGUCCGGUGAAGCCUCGGGAUUGUGGCCAGUUCACUUUAUUGGGAGUUGGCUGCGAGAACUUGUCUAAACCUUAUCAUUUAGAGGAAGGUGAAGUCGUAACA
rnacentral:rRNA from 1 species